GACGAACGCGGCGGCGUGCCUAAUACAUGCAAGUAGAACGCUGAAGGAGGAGCUUGCUUCUCUGGAUGAGUUGCGAACGGGUGAGUAACGCGUAGGUAACCUGCCUGGUAGCGGGGGAUAACUAUUGGAAACGAUAGCUAAUACCGCAUGAUAGCAGUUAUUGCAUGAUAACUGUUUGAAAGGUGCAAAUGCAUCACUACCAGAUGGACCUGCGUUGUAUUAGCUAGUUGGUGGGGUAACGGCUCACCAAGGCGACGAUACAUAGCCGACCUGAGAGGGUGAUCGGCCACACCGGGACCGAGACACGGCCCAGACUCCUACGGGAGGCAGCAGUAGGGAAUCUUCGGCAAUGGACGGAAGUCUGACCGAGCAACGCCGCGUGAGUGAAGAAGGUUUUCGGAUCGUAAAGCUCUGUUGUAAGAGAAGAAACGAGUGUGAGAAGUGGAAAGUUUCACAACUGGG
rnacentral:rRNA from 1 species